rnacentral:rRNA from 1 species
GGAGUCUAGCAUGUGCGCGAGUCAUUGGGAAUUACUAAACCUAAAGGCGCAAUGAAAGUGAAGGUCNGCCUUGCGCGGACCGAGGGAAGAUGGGUGGUCGCGGUUUCCGCGCCGCUCCGCAUUCCCGGGGCGUCUCGUUCUCAUCGCGAGAAGAGGCGCACCAAGAGCGUACACGCUGGGACCCGAAAGAUGGUGAACUAUGCCUGGUCAGGACGAAGUCAGGGGAAACCCUGAUGGAGGUCCGUAGCGAUUCUGACGUGCAAAUCGAUCGUCGGAACUGGGUAUAGGGGCGAAAGACUAAUCGAACCAUCUAGUAGCUGGUUCCCUCCGAAGUUUCCCUCAGGAUAGCUGGCGCUCGUCGCCUACGAGUCUCAUCCGGUAAAGCGAAUGAUUAGAGGCAUUGGGGUCGAAACGGCCUCAACCUAUUCUCAAACUUUAAAUGGGUGAGAUCUCCGGCUUGCUCGAACUUAUGAAGCCGCGAGACACGGAUCAGAGUGCCAAGUGGGCCAUUUUUGGUAAGCAGAACUGGCGCUGUGGGAUGAACCAAACGCCGAGUUAAAGCGCCUAAAUCGACGCUUAUGGGAUACCAUGAAAGGCGUUGGUAACUUAAGACAGCAGGACGGUGGCCAUGGAAGUCGGAAUCCGCUAAG